rnacentral:rRNA from 1 species
CCCUAUGGGGUGCAGCAGGCGCGAAACCUCCACAAUGCGCGAAAGCGUGAUGGGGUUAGCCCGAGUGCCGUCCGAUGAGGAUGGCUUUUCCUUGGUGUAAAGGCCCAAGGGAAUAAAGGGGGGGCAAGACUGGUGUCAGCCGCCGCGGUAAUACCAGCUCCCUGAGUGGUAAGGACGAUUAUUUGGCUUAAAGCGUCCGUAGCCGGAUUAGUAAGUCUCUUGUUAAAUCCAAUGAUUCAAUCAUUGAACUGCAAGAGAUACUGCUAUGCUAGAGGACGGGAGAGGUCGACGGUAGUCCAGGGGUAGGGGUGAAAUCCUAUAAUCCUUGGAGGACCACCAGUGGCGAAGGCGGUCGACUAGAACGUGCCUGACGGUGAGGGACGAAAGCUGGGGGAGCGAACCGGAUUAGAUACCCGGGUAGUCCCAGCUGUAAACGAUGCGGGCUAGGUGUAGGGGCAGCUGCGAGCUGCUCCUGUGCCGCAGAUAAAUUGUUAAGCCCGCCGCCUGGGGAGUACGAUCGCAAGGUUGAAACUUAAAGGAAUUGGCGGGGGAGCACCACAAGGGGUGAAGGCUGCGGUUUAAUUGGAGUCAACGCCGGGAACCUUACCGGGGCUGACAGCAGAGUGAAGGCCAGAUUGAAGCUCUUGCCAGACAAGCUGAGAGGAGGUGCAUGGGCCAA